GAAACCCAAGCGAGCUACUUGCAAGCAGCUAGCCCGAGCGAACCCGUCUCUGUCGCAAAAGAGUGGGACGACUUGCUAGUAGAGGUGAAAAGCCAAUCGAGCUGGGUGAUAGCUGGUUGCCUGUGAAAUGAACCUAAGUUCCCUCUCGACUAUUCUCUAAGGACACCCAAAUCUAACCCCCAUGUAACUAGCCUAGGGUAAUUUAAAGGAGGUACAGCUCCUUUAAAAAAGAAUACAAUCUCACCCAGAGGAUAACCCAACC
rnacentral:ncRNA from 1 species